rfam:Ipomoea nil DNA, scaffold: scaffold2782, cultivar: Tokyo-kokei standard.
GGUCCCGUAGCUCAGUUGGUUAGAGCGUUGGUCUUAUGAGCUAAAGGUCGUGGGUUCGAGCCUUAUCGGGAUCA